AACUUGGCAAACAGUGUGCAAAUGAAAAGUUAUAACCUGAGUAAUCUGGAAAUAGGUACAUUGCAAUAUAGGUAUAUUCUUAAGCAAGAUAGUUAUGAAUAUUAAUACCUCAAUUUAUAAUUCCAUUUCUUUCAAUUCCUCGUUAAAUCUUCAAUUUGAUAUAAAUUUCUUUUUCUAGUGAAGAGACAAAGUAAGAAAUGCAGGUAGGAGUUACAUAAAGAACACAAGAGUGAAACAAGAAACUUCUAGUCAAUGAACUUCUCUAUUCAAAUGUGUUGUGCAUGACAUAUAAAUACAAUACUUUACACAUAUUUAAUUAUAGAAACUGCGCACUGACUCUUACAUUUACUCCAUGCGCAGCAGUCAAUAUCUUUCCUUUCCCCAUUAUCCUCCAUGCAUUUGACUUCAAUACCCUACCUUUAAAUUCCACUUGCCCUUUUAAGUAGAUAUCCUACUUAUUAUUCUCUCCCUAUCUCAUAAUUUUUGUCCAUAUUCCUUUUUUUUUUUAUUGUCCCACAAU
rnacentral:lncRNA from 1 species